CUGUGUGCAUGUGUGGGUGCGUGCGUGUGUACGUAUGUGUGUCUGUGUUUGUGUGCAUCUGCGUUUGCGUUCAUACUAUUAAACUUUGUUUCCCCAUAGUAUAACCAGUCUUUCCUGGUAAUAUUCAUUAAACAUGCAUUUUUCUUUUUGCUGCAUCACAGGACAGCUUCCCAGAGAUUGAGAUCGUUUGGCUGAUGACGAAGGCAUGGAAUACUGGCAUAAAUCUAUUCAGUGCUGAGUGUAAUGAUGGGGCAAGGCAAUGGUGUGAGAUGGGACUGCAGUUAUUGAAGCACCUAUCCACGUUGCAAGAUAGCUACAAAGAGCAGAUGACCUCUGCCUAUGGUGAGAUUCUGGCACGUAUGGAGUCAGAUCAGCAUAUCAUGGCUUUCACCGAAGCAGGAAUCUAAAGUGAAAUUCAUAUAGUGAAUACAAUAUUACACACGAUUGGAUCGCUUUGUGCUUGCAACGUUGAGAGUAUAAUCUCAUACUGAAGUCCUAGUUGUGGUCCUGGUGGCAGGCUGACAUGAGCUGUAGUAUAAGAAUGCAUUUUACUGCAUUUCUUUCGCAAUAUUAUUGUUAUUGUAUACCUAAUUUAUACACAUUGUAAGUUAUCAAGUUUUAUUUAAACUUAAUUUGUAUUUUAUGAACUGUAAUUGCGCAGCUAUGUUAUCAACAUUUGAAAUUAUAAUAUUGUACUGCUGUGCUUAUUCAAUGUUUCUUUUAAUAUUAUUCCGUACCAAUUGUAUAACAGUAAGUGUUUUUGGAAAAACCUGUUGUUAACACGUUAGUCAUUCCACUCAUAUUUGGUGAGAUAUGCUUUAUAAUAUAUUGUCAAAAAUCAUUAUACAGUUAUACAUAUGUUAUCCUUAUUGUUAGGUGGGGGAGAUGUAUCUUAAGGCAAAAGGUCAGGCAGAU